UCAGAGUCCACACAAUCAUCACUUUCUCCCACUUCUUGGGAAAAAACACAGGUGUUGAUACCACGGCUUGCCAAGGAAAAAGCAAGCAACCGUCCUGUUGAAGAAUGAAUUCAUUCAGUACUAAAUGCUAAAUUACAAUGUUGAAGACAGCUGGUAUGCUGUGGGCCUUUCUCUGUCCCUGAAAAUCCCAGCGGUCUGCAAAUCAAGAGAGAAAGUAGGCAGAAAAUUGAGCCAGAAGGACUCAUAUAUUGGAGACUCCAUGAGGAUGGAGAAAAUGCAGCAACUUGCCCGAAGUCCCAAAUCUGCUCUCUGUCUUCAAGAACUGAACAAGGAUUCAAUAUGGAUUAGUGAUUAAGAGCUUGGGCUAUGGAUUCAGAACAACCUGGGUUCAAGUCCUGGAUCUGCUCCUUACAAGCUGUGUGAGUUGAAACAUCAAUUUAAAAAUUGAGUGUUCAGGGCGUACCUGGAACAUUGCCAGUCUACGUGGUGGAUGAAAAAGACAGAUGGCAAACCACGUGCUGGAAGACAUGUGUCAACUCUGUCUACACGUCACUAGCCAACACAAGUCCCAUAGCCACUCCUGAAUUCAACAGUGCAGGAGUGGAUAGUAUUCCUCCAGAGUGGGGUAUUGAAAGGAAGAAAAUUGUAAUGUUUUAUCAUAGUGUAUAAUUUGCCAGCUAUUUAUUCUGAGCCCUACCACUCUGUAAACUUUCUGGCACAACGUAGGCACUUUUGAAUGAGAAUCUUAUUAUACUGUCAACUGUUCUAGGGGCCCCUUCUGCUCCCAGUUUGCCAUAAAGAGGCGUCAGACCCCAAAAGCCCAAUUGUGCCUUAUUUAGUUCAACAUCUGGAGAGGCUCAGCUGUCCCACAUAUUUGUUCCUAAAUCACUGAGUUGCUCACUGAAUUGGCUGC
rnacentral:lncRNA from 1 species